rnacentral:tRNA from 1 species
GGUGGCUCAGUGUAGAGCACUUACCUUGUAUGCAUGAGGCCUUGGGUUCGAUUCCCCAGCACCA